rnacentral:rRNA from 1 species
UACAGAGGGUGCGAGCGUUGUUCGGAAUUAUUGGGCGUAAAGAGCUCGUAGGCGGCUUGUCGCGUCGACUGUGAAAACCCAUGGCUCAACCAUGGGCUUGCAGUCGAUACGGGCGGGCUAGAGUUCGGUAGGGGAGACUGGAAUUCCUGGUGUAGCGGUGAAAUGCGCAGAUAUCAGGAGGAACACCGGUGGCGAAGGCGGGUCUCUGGGCCGAUACUGACGCUGAGGAGCGAAAGCGUGGGGAGCAAACAGG